rnacentral:rRNA from 1 species
UACGGGAGGCAGCAGUGGGGAAUAUUGCACAAUGGGCGCAAGCCUGAUGCAGCCAUGCCGCGUGUAUGAAGAAGGCCUUCGGGCUGUAAAGUACUUUCAGUCGUGAGGAAGGUGUUAAGGUUAAUAACCUUAGCAAUUGACGUUAGCGACAGAAGAAGCACCGGCUAACUCCGUGCCAGCAGCCGCGGUAAUACGGAGGGUGCGAGCGUUAAUCGGAAUUACUGGGCGUAAAGGGCACGCAGGCGGUUAAUUAAGUUGGAUGUGAAAUCCCCGGGCUUAACCUGGGAAUGGCAUUCAAGACUGGUUAGCUAGAGUCUUGUAGAGGGGGUAGAAUUCCAUGUGUAGCGGUGAAAUGCGUAGAGAUGUGGAGGAAUACCGGUGGCGAAGGCGGCCCCUGGGACAAAGACUGACGCUCAUGUGCGAAAGCGUGGGGAGCAAACAGGAUUAGAUACC